rnacentral:rRNA from 1 species
CCUACGGGAGGCAGCAGUAGGGAAUAUUGGGCAAUGGAGGAAACUCUGACCCAGCAACGCCGCGUGAAUGAUGAAGGUCUUCGGAUUGUAAAGUUCUUUUCUAAGGGAAGAAGAAAGUGACGGUACCUUAGGAAUAAGCCUCGGCUAACUACGUGCCAGCAGCCGCGGUAAUACGUAGGAGGCGAGCGUUAUCCGGAAUGACUGGGCGUAAAGGGGGCGUAGGUGGUUUGGCAAGUCAGUAGCGUAACUCCAAGGCUCAACCUUGGAACUACUACUAAAACUGUUGGACUUGAGUGCAGGAGGGGCAACUGGAAUUCCUAGUGUAGCGGUGGAAUGCGUAGAUAUUAGGAGGAACACCAGUGGCGAAGGCGGGUUGCUAGACUGUAACUGACACUGAGGCACGAAAGCGUGGGGAGCAAACAGGAUUAGAUACCCUAGUAGUC